UUUUCCUUUCUUCCUUCCUUUUCAGUUGAUCUCUCCUCACCCUACAGUUAAGCUUUGUGAAUUUGGCCUGCCUAGGAGCUUGCAGAGACAUAAUCAUGGAUGCUUUGGGAUAUUUCUUAUUCCUUUUUUGUCGCUAGUAUUAGCUUCUGCUUGAGUAAUCUGGUAUACAGAUUACUUGAUUAGCAGUACUCCGAUUUGGUUGACAACAAAAGGUAGAACUAGUGGUAUCCAGGAGUUGGCAACCUAUUUCAGAUUUCAGGUUGCAGUGAAAAGACUUGCAGUGUUUGCAGACACGCCUAGCAAAUUUGCUUUCUCAUAAUUAGACUCCACUUUGAGAGCUACGACUUGUGCAAAUUCGUGGUCCAUGGUCCCAUUUCACUGCACUAUCAAAGUCAGAACUAGCACAAUAAAGCGGAAAAGUGUCACA